rnacentral:rRNA from 1 species
AUUGAACGCUGGCGGCAGGCCUAACACAUGCAAGUCGAACGAGUGGCGGACGGGUGAGUAAUGUCUGGGAAACUGCCUGAUGGAGGGGGAUCACUACUGGAAACGGUAGCUAAUACCGCAUACCCUCAGAUGUGCCCAGAUGGGAUGGGCUAGUUGGUGGGGUAACGGCUCACCAAGGCGACGAUCCCUAGCUGGUCUGAGAGGAUGACCAGCAAAACUGGAACUGGGAAACGGUCCAGACUCCUACGGGAGGCAGCAGUGGGGAAUAUUGCACAAUGGGCGAAAGCCGGAUGCAGCAAUGCCGCGUGUAUGAAGAAGGCCUUCGGGUUGUAAAGUACUUUCAGCGGGGAGGCGUUACCCGCAGAAGAAGCACCGGCUAACUCCGUGCCAGCAGCCGCGGUAAUUC